GGGUGUCAGUCGCAUAGCGCAACUGGCAGGUGCAUGAGUUGGUCGGGCCGCCAGCU
rnacentral:ncRNA from 1 species